UGUUUGUGUUGUGAAUUAUUUAGUGAGAGCAUGACAACUUUUAGUAUUUUUUGCCAAAUGUUCUAUUCAUUGAUGCUAAUGCAUUAGGUCAGUCAUUUUUACAUAUUGGAGGCCUGUGCAGUUUUUGCUUAUGAGUCGCACAGAUCUAGCUCACGUCCUCUGCCUCUUUGGCUCUGUCUAAGGGUUGAUGGGAUCAGUUUGUGGACAGUGAGUGCAUCUGUCUGGGGUGAUUCAUGACUCCAGGCCUUCCCUUCUGACAGCCUUCCUCUGCCAUCUCUCUCUCUCUCUCUCUCUCUCUCUCUCUCUCUCUCUCUCUCUCUCUCUCUCUUUAUCCUGACAGCAGGCUUUUCUGAGCGUGCUUGGAUGCAGCGUACCAACAUUUCCAAUGCAGCCUUUGGCCGUGGGGUCAGCCAGGCACCCACCGAUCCCUCUGUGAUCUGCCUGACUGAUCCGCCUCUGUCGGCUACAGCCGUUCGUGUGUGCGAGAAGAGCAAAGCAAUGUUGCACUUUGAUCCCCCUUCAUCCUACCGGACUAUAGGGAAGGUGACAUCUGAACUGAGACAGGGUGAAAGCAGCAGGGGGUGGGCUGCCCUGUGAAGCUAGAGGCUGCCUGACCUAGUAAAGGGGUGAUUUGUGGCGUCAAAGUAACCGGAAGUCAUUCAGUUUCAGAGAGAGAUGGCGAUUUGAGGCAAAGUGAGUGACAGUAACCAUAGGCGAAGUGACAAUGUGCAUGCUAAUGCACAGCAAUAAGGCAACAACCAUUAGGAGUUCAGAAUCAUGAUCCACCAUCCUGAUAUAAGAAUUGACUGAAUUCUGAUUCAAAAAAGUUUAUUUUCAUCACUUAAAGCUAAUAAUUUAAUGUAUAACAUUUAGGGCCAGAUUUACUAACAGAUUGCGCCAGCGCAAACCCUCUUUUGGCAUUAAAAACUAAUGUCCGGAUUUACUAAGACACUGUACAAAAUUAGCUCUGAAAAAGCGUGACUGAGUUGUUUUUGCAGCUUACCUUAUUGCAUAUGCAUUUGUAGGAGUUUCACUUUCAGACGCAAAAUUUAUGGGAGGAGAGUACUUAAAUAAAUCACGCAACGCGAUUUACUAAUGUUUGCGCUAGUCAAUUUACUGGUAUUUGUGCCAGUAUUUAACACCCCAAAAGAAGCAUGUCUUAACCCGUUUGCGACAUGGCUGCAAUUGUUCCUGCUUAGAGGAGACACCGCAGAGAACAGAGAUCGUGUGGUUGAAGGGAGAAAAUAUUUUCCACUUGUAUUAUUUUCUUUGGAAUGACAAUCUGUUCAUCAUGCAAAGUUGGUGUGUUGCACAUUAUGUUCUACACUAAGACUAACACUAAUAAUACCCUGUGGUGAAACAGUUUUUAAUAUUGUUUAUAUGUCUAUGUGGUGUUUUUAUUAUGCUUUAAGACAAACCAUGUGCAAAUUCAUCAGUCAAAACCAUUGCUGAGUAUUUUCUUCUUAAAACUACAGUGUACCAAAGACAGUCUCAAAAACGUGGUUUGAAAUAUUCCAUAAUUCCUACACCAAAAACUCGUAACCAAUCCAGUCAAUGUUAGGGGCGGGGCUUUUCCUAUUAUUAUUUCUAGGGAAGCUGAUUAGCUGUGAGACUUUGAGAUGGCAAACAGGAACAUGGUUUGUGUAACAUUAGCAACACACUAUUAGCUGUUUGAUAACGUAGUCAAGCAAAAGGUUAAACAUAUCAUUGUUUGAUAAAGUAUUCAAGUCAAAGGCUAAUCAUAUCAAUAACUGUUGACUUUUAUUAAAAUUAUGAAUGGUUAUAUCCUAGAAAGUGCGCAAAGACCACUCCCUUUACAACCAUCUCAAGUUCUGUUAUAAUCAGUAAAGUUGUCAACACAGCACAAUGGAUCUCUUAUUUACUUCGUAUCUACACUUUUUUUAAUGAGAGGGUUUGCGAGCGUGCAGUAAAAAACUUUUAGCAGUGAGUGGAUUCUUACUAAAUUAAACAUCCCUGGUCGGGCCCUGCGUUCAAGAGAUCAGCAAACCUGUCUGUGAUUGGUUACAUUGCUCACUGUUGCAAACCUCGUUGUGAAACUCAAAUAUGCACGUUUAAAUAUGUCGUUGUGAUUAUCAAAGAUUAAUUUUAAAGAAUUAUUGACUCCAGUGGGACUUUAACAUGUACUUAUACAUAAUUAAAAUUAAAAGUUGUAACUUCAUAUUGUUUAAUGGACCUACAGUUGAGGACAAAUUUUACAUACCCCUUGCAGAAUAUGCAA